UGGGAUAACUCCGGGAAACCGGGGCUAAUACCGGAUAACAUUUUGAACUGCAUGGUGCGAAAUUGAAAGGCGGCUUCGGCUGUCACUUAUGGAUGGACCCGCGUCGCAUUAGCUAGUUGGUGAGGUAACGGCUCACCAAGGCAACGAUGCGUAGCCGACCUGAGAGGGUGAUCGGCCACACUGGGACUGAGACACGGCCCAGACUCCUACGGGAGGCAGCAGUAGGGAAUCUUCCGCAAUGGACGAAAGUCUGACGGAGCAACGCCGCGUGAGUGAUGAAGGCUUUCGGGUCGUAAAACUCUGUUGUUAGGGAAGAACAAGUGCUAGUUGAAUAAGCUGGCACCUUGACGGUACCUAACCAGAAAGCCACGGCUAACUACGUGCCAGCAGCCGCGGUAAUACGUAGGUGGCAAGCGUUAUCCGGAAUUAUUGGGCGUAAAGCGCGCGCAGGUGGUUUCUUAAGUCUGAUGUGAAAGCCCACGGCUCAACCGUGGAGGGUCAUUGGAAACUGGGAGACUUGAGUGCAGAAGAGGAAAGUGGAAUUCCAUGUGUAGCGGUGAAAUGCGUAGAGAUAUGGAGGAACACCAGUGGCGAAGGCGACUUUCUGG
rnacentral:rRNA from 1 species